AUUGAACGCUGGCGGCAGGCCUAACACAUGCAAGUCGAGCGGAUGAAGAGAGCUUGCUCUCUGAUUCAGCGGCGGACGGGUGAGUAAUGCCUAGGAAUCUGCCUGGUAGUGGGGGACAACGUUUCGAAAGGAACGCUAAUACCGCAUACGUCAUACGAGAGAAAGCAGGAGACCUUCGGGCCUUGCGCUAUCAGAUGAGCCUAGGUCGGAUUAGAUAGUAGGUGGGGUAAAGGCUCACCUAGGCGACGAUCCGUAACUGGUCUGAGAGGAGGAUCAGUCACACUGGAACUGAGACACGGUCCAGACUCCUACGGGAGGCAGCAGUGGGGAAUAUUGGACAAUGGGCGAAAGCCUGAUCCAGCCAUGCCGCGUGUGUGAAGAAGGUCUUCGGAUUGUAAAGCACUUUAAGUUGGGAGGAAGGGCAGUAAGUUAAUACCUUGCUGUUUUGACGUUACCAACAGAAUAAGCACCGGCUAACUUCGUGCCAGCCGCCGCGGUAAGAC
rnacentral:rRNA from 1 species